rnacentral:rRNA from 1 species
GAUGAACGCUGACAGAAUGCUUAACACAUGCAAGUCUUUGGCGAAUCUGUGCUUGCACAGGCUAGCCAAGGCGGACGGGUGAAUAACGCGUAAAGAACUUGCCCUGCAGACAGGGAUAACAGACGGAAACGACUGAUAACACCUGAUACAGUUGCCGGCACGCAUGUGCCUGGCAAUGAAAAGAGAUGCUGCAGGAGAGCUUUGCGUCCUAUUAGCUUGUUGGUGAGGUGACGGCUCACCAAGGCGAUGAUAGGUAGCCGGCCUGAGAGGGUGAACGGCCACAAGGGGACUGAGAUACGGCCCUUACUCCUACGGGAGGCAGCAGUGGGGAAUAUUGGACAAUGGGGGCAACCCUGAUCCAGCAAUUCUGUGUGCACGAAGAAGGUUUUCGGAUUGUAAAGUGCUUUCAGCAGGGAAGAAGAAAGUGACGGUACCUGCAGAAGAAGCGACGGCUAAAUACGUG